GCUGCGGGAGCUGCGAGCUCAGCUGGCCGACGAGGAAGACGUCAGCGCCACCGACUGGGAAGCCCACCUGGAGGCGGUGGCCGCCUGCGCCCGCCUGGCCGCCAUGGAAACGGCCGUGCGCCAGCUGAACGCCGAAGUGGCCUCGCUGGCCGAGACGAGAACGGCGCUCGAGCAGCGGUACGCCACCAUACUGCGCAACCAGGAGACGAUUGACAAAAACAAAUCGCACAUCCAACUGCUGGUGGCGCUGGGGCGCGACUCGCUGGCGCUG